UUCGUCGGGAUUGUCCCCCCUCGUUAUCCUCGUCGUUUCAGUUGCUGUCUUCUUGAUUUUUAUUUUUUUUCUGUUCAUUCACUAUUUCUUUAUCUUUUUUCGUCUCCGUUUUUCUUCUUUUGUAUUUAGGUCUUCCACUUAUCGAGAAACCUUCCUAUCUUUUCCUACUUUCGUCUUCUCGUCCGUUAUAUCGCGCGUGGCUUCGCACCUUUCUUACGUACAAAUUCCACAAAGCACUACUAAUACAGCAUGUUACAAAAAUAGAGUUUAUGUUCCCUUAAAUAAAAUAAAUGUACAAUUAAUUGUUACUUGUGGUUAGGAAACAUUUAGUGUAUGUGUUGUCUUGUAGGUAGAGUCUAAGCUACUGCCCGGCGAGGUUCGCCCAUCUUGCCCGAAACUAAGGAGAAUCGCCGCUUGGAGGCGCAAUGUGUGCCACCACCAACGAUGGGGCUCCGGCGGCCGCACCUGUCUGCACGACCGCCACUCAACACACACUCAUGUAUCACGAGAUACAAGCAAUAUCUUACGAGUUUAUUGAGUGCAACAAAGAGAUAACUAACGUCUUUAUAAUUCGUCUAACAAAGAUAGAAUCUACUACCUAACGAAUGACGUAGAAAAGAGAGGACUAUAAUCACCACGGUUUCUUCGAUGAGUUUCGGUGUGGCGUAGUUGGCAGGCAUGCGAAUGAACGAGUGGCGAACACGACGGAGAUCUCUGGUAACAGUGCCCGCGAAAGACAAAGAUCGAAAAUAAAGGAUGAUACGAGAAAAGAGAAUGAAAAAAGAGAAAAGAGAAAACGAACGACAGACAGUGGCGGAUAUAUUCACCCCCGUAUACGCAACCCUUUGCGAUACGAUAAUAAACAAUGAACGAUCUUACUUGGUCGACUCGUCUACUACGUGUGGAAUUGCACGGAGAUGAGAGGACGGCAGCCACUCAGACAUUCCGUUGCUCGUACGAACAGGUUUCCUACCGAUUGCAGAAAAAAAGCACUUAGACUUGAUUUUCUUCCCGUUACUCGAAAUCGAUGAAUACUAACCCCUGUGAAAACAUAAGGAAAAGAGAAAUGGAUGUAUCGAUCUCACCCCUAGGGACUUGCUAGGAUUAGGAUAUCACGGUAGCCACCCACGACGAACUAUGAAACACCAUGCAAUAGCGGAAAAAUCUUUUAACAUUUAGUAAUAUUAUUUA